rnacentral:rRNA from 1 species
AGUGAACGCUGGCGGUAGGCCUAACACAUGCAAGUCGAACGGCAGCACAGUAAGAGCUUGCUCUUACGGGUGGCGAGUGGCGGACGGAUGGGGAAUACAUCGGAAUCUACUUUUUCGUGGGGGAUAACGUAGGGAAACUUACGCUAAUACCGCAUACGACCUACGGGUGAAAGCAGGGGAUCUUCGGACCUUGCGCGAUUGAAUGAGCCGAUGUCGGAUUAGCUAGUUGGCGGGGAAAAGGCCCACCAAGGCGACGAUCCGUAGCUGGUCUGAGAGGAUGAUCAGCCACACUGGAACUGAGACACGGUCCAGACUCCUAAGGGAGGCACCAGUGGGGAAUAUUGGACAAUGGGGGCAAGCCUGAUCCAGCCAUACCGCGUGGGUGAAGAAGGCCUUCGGGUUGUAAAGCCCUUUUGUUGGGAAAGAAAAGCAGCAGGUUAAUACCCCGCUGUUCUGACGGUACCCAAAGAAUAAGCACCGGCUAACUUCGUG